GGAAUAAAGGAUGUGACAGAGACCACUCGGUUCCAUCACUUGUUAACCCUGUUAACUUGGAGUAUUGAAAUCAAAUAGGUACUUAAAGCAUAUCUCAACAUGGACCAUCCAUGCUUCAAGGGUUUAGUAACCAUCUGCAGCUAGUGGCUAUUGCCCUGGACAGUGUUUAAGGGAAGGCCAAGAAGAGAAUGGGGAAGAAUGAAGAUAAGGGUAUUGGCAGCUUCAUCCGGUUCACCUCAGUGCUCUCCCAGAGGGAGAGGCAACAUGCCUGCCUAGAAGGAAAGUGAGGGAUGGAUGUGAAGGGAAGAUCAGAUUUGGAGCAGGUGCCAGGCAAAUCCUUACAAACCAGUAAACUGGGACUCUUCAUGAAUUCUUGCACUCUCAGUGAGAUUUGUAGUGACAGUUUUCGGUUCAAAAGUGCAUUCUUGUAACUAGACUACAUGGGAUCAUCCAGUGGAAUGAAGUCCAGUAUCACAUACACAGCUGUACUCUGAGAAGUAAUUUUAGACGUCAAGAUAAUGUAUGUCGAAGCUGUGCAAAACCACAACCCACCAGUGGAUCACGAUGCCUUUUGGCAAAUGCUGUUUAUUGUGUUAGUCUCUGGCUGUACAAUGAUCUGGAAAGCUGAACGACUGGAAUUUGUCACUUAAGCCAUUCAUCCUCAGCUGCCAAGAGGUGGGCACAUUCUGACCUCUGGAAUUAAAGUUGGGCAGAGUUCCAUACACUAUCCUACUAAGAAUGUGGUCACUAUAGCUCCAAUAAAGACAUCCUGUUUCAGCAAUACGGUGUAAAGAAAACUUCACAACUAUCAAAUGGUUUGGAUGUUUUCCAUUCAUUUUUAGUUGGUAGACGUCCAUUUUCUUUUUAGUUAUGUCUAAACUAAUUGUGUGUCUUGAUAUUGCAUUUUUUUCUAUAGCUCUAACCUAAAAACAGCUGAAGUUAUUUUCCUGAAUACACAUAAAAACUCCUGAGCUGAGACCUGAUAUAUCAAGUUUCAGCCUGAAGAAUUUUUUUGAGCCGAUGGUUUAUGCUGAAAACGCUGACAGAUGUCGAACAGCCUCAGCAAAGCAAUCUUUAAGGGA